rnacentral:rRNA from 1 species
CUACGGGUGGCUGCAGGCGCGAAACCUUUACAAUGCACGCAAGUGUGAUAAGGGGAUCCUAAGUGCUCAUACAUUGUAUGGGCUUUUGUUAAGAGUAAAUAUCUUAGCGAAUAAGUGGUGGGUAAGACUGGUGCCAGCCGCCGCGGUAACACCAGCGCCACAAGUGGCAACCACGUUUAUUGGGCCUAAAGCGUCCGUAGCCGGUUUGGAAAAUCUCUUGUGAAAUCGACAAGCUCAACUUGUCGGCGUGCUUGAGACACUACUAAACUAGAGACCGGGAGGAGUCAGAGGUAUUCCAGGGGGAGCGGUAAAAUGUGAUAAUCCUUGGAGGACCAUCUAUGGCGAAGGCAUCUGACCAGAACGGAUCUGACGGUGAGGGACGAAGGCUAGGGGAGCGAUCCGGAUUAGAUACCCGCGUAGUC